rnacentral:rRNA from 1 species
UCCCAGACUCCUACGGGAGGCAGCAGUGGGGGAUAUUGCACAAUGGGGGGAACCCUGAUGCAGCGACGCCGCGUGGGUGAAGAAGUAUUUCGGUAUGUAAAGCCCUAUCGGCAGGGAAGAAAUUGGACGGUACCUGACUAAGAAGCCCCGGCUAACUACGUGCCAGCAGCCGCGGGAAUACGUAGGGGGCAAGCGUUAUCCGGAUUUACUGGGUGUAAAGGGAGCGUAGACGGCUGUGCAAGUCUGAAGUGAAAGCCCGUGGCUCAACCGCGGAACUGCUUUGGAAACUGUAUAGCUUGAGUACUGGAGAGGCAGGCGGAAUUCCUAGUGUAGCGGUGAAAUGCGUAGAUAUUAGGAGGAACACCAGUGGCGAAGGCGGCCUGCUGGACCGCGACUGACGUUGAGGCUCGAAAGCGUGGGGAGCGAACAGGAUUAGAUACCCCCGUAUA